UACGAAGGGUGCAAGCGUUAAUCGGAAUUACUGGGCGUAAAGCGCGCGUAGGUGGUUCAGGAAGUUGGAAGUGAAAUCCCCGGGCUCAACCUGGGAACUGCAUCCAAAACUGCUGAGCUAGAGUACGGUAGAGGGUGGUGGAAUUUCCUGUGUAGCGGUGAAAUGCGUAGAUAUAGGAAGGAACACCAGUGGCGAAGGCGACCACCUGGACUGAUACUGACACUGAGGUGCGAAAGCGUGGGGAGCAAACAGG
rnacentral:rRNA from 1 species